AGAGUUUGAUCCUGGCUCAGGAUUAACGCUGGCGGCAUGCCUAAGACAUGCAAGUCGAACGGAGCGCCCCACUGACUCUGGAUGAAGUUGAAGAGCUUGCUCAGAAAUGGAUGAAGGAUGAUGUGGAUUCUGCGCUCAGUGGCGAACGGGUGAGUAACACGUGGGUAAUCUGCCUGUAAGUUGGGGAUAACAGUUAGAAAUGACUGCUAAUACCGAAUGUGCUAGAAAUAGUAAAGGCGCUUCAAAGCGUCGCUUAUAGAUGAGCCUGCGGUGUAUUAGCUAGUUGGUGGGGUAAUGGCCUACCAAGGCAACGAUGCAUAGCCGGACUGAGAGGUUGAACGGCCACACUGGGACUGAGACACGGCCCAGACUCCUACGGGAGACAGCAGUUAGGAAUAUUCGGCAAUGGGGGAAACCCUGACCGAGCAAUGCCGCGUGUGGGAUGACGGUCCUUUGGAUUGUAAACCACUUUUAUUAGGAAAGAACUGUAAGUAUAGGAAAUGAUACUUACUUGACGGUACCUUUUGAAUAAGCCCCGGCUAACUACGUGCCAGCAGCCGCGGUAAUACGUAGGGGGCGAGCGUUAUCCGGAUUUAUUGGGCGUAAAGCGUGUGUAGGCGGUUUGUUAAGUCUGAGAUGAAAGGCUGUGGCUCAACCACAGUUUGUUUCAGAUACUGGCAGACUAGAGUGCAGUAGAGGCAAUUGGAAUUCAUAGUGUAGCGGUGGAAUGCGUAGAUAUUAUGAGGAACAUCAGUGGCGAAGGCGAAUUGCUGGGCUGUUACUGACGCUGAGACACGAAAGCGUGGGGAGCAAAUAGGAUUAGAUACCCUAGUAGUCCACGCCGUAAACGAUGAGCACUAAGUGUCGGGCAACCGGUGCUGAAGUUAACACAUUAAGUGCUCCGCCUGAGUAGUACGGUCGCAAGACUGAAACUCAAAGGAAUUGACGGGCACCCGCACAAGCGGUGGAGUAUGUUGUUUAAUUCGAUGCUACGCGAGAAACCUUACCGACCCUUGACAUCUUGGUCGCGACUUCCAGAGAUGGUUGUCUUCAAUUCGGUUGGACCAAAGACAGAUGCUGCAUGGCUGUCGUCAGCUCGUGUCGUGAGAUGUUAGGUUAAGUCCUGCAACGAGCGCAACCCACGCCCUAUGUUGCCAGCGGGUAAUGCCGGGAACUCUUAGGGGACUGCCCGCGUCAAGCGGGAGGAAGGUGUGGAUGACGUCAAGUCAUCAUGGUUCUUACGGGUCGGGCUACAAACGUACUACAAUGGCGACAACAAUGGGUCGCAAUACCGCAAGGUAAAGCCAAUCCUUAAAAGUCGUCUCAGUUCGGAUUGUCCUCUGCAACUCGAGGGCAUGAAGCUGGAAUCACUAGUAAUCGUUGAUCAGAAUGCAACGGUGAAUACGUUCCCGGGUCUUGUACACACCGCCCGU
rnacentral:rRNA from 1 species